rnacentral:rRNA from 2 species
UGUUUCGGCUAGGGGGCCAUCCCGGCUUACCAACCCGAUGCAAACUGCGAAUACCGGAGAAUGUUAUCACGGGAGACACACGGCGGGUGCUAACGUCCGUCGUGAAGAGGGAAACAACCCAGACCGCCAGCUAAGGUCCCAAAGUCAUGGUUAAGUGGGAAACGAUGUGGGAAGGCCCAGACAGCCAGGAUGUUGGCUUAGAAGCAGCCAUCAUUUAAAGAAAGCGUAAUAGCUCACUGGUCGAGUCGGCCUGCGCGGAAGAUGUAACGGGGCUAAACCAUGCACCGAAGCUGCGGCAGCGACACUCAGGUGUUGUUGGGUAGGGGAGCGUUCUGUAAGCCUGCGAAGGUGGCCUGUGAGGGUUGCUGGAGGUAUCAGAAGUGCGAAUGCUGACAUAAGUAACGAUAAAGCGGGUGAAAAGCCCGCUCGCCGGAAGACCAAGGGUUCCUGUCCAACGUUAAUCGGGGCAGGGUGAGUCGACCCCUAAGGCGAGGCCGAAAGGCGUAGUCGAUGGGAAACGGGUUAAUAUUCCCGUACUUGGUGUUACUGCGAAGGGGGGACGGAGAAGGCUAUGUUGGCCGGGCGACGGUUGUCCCGGUUUAAGCGUGUAGGCUGGUUUUCCAGGCAAAUCCGGAAAAUCAAGGCUGAGGCGUGACGACGAGGCACUACGGUGCUGAAGCAACAAAUGCCCUGCUUCCAGGAAAAGCCUCUAAGCAUCAGGUAACAUCAAAUCGUACCCCAAACCGACACAGGUGGUCAGGUAGAGAAUACCAAGGCGCUUGAGAGAACUCGGGUGAAGGAACUAGGCAAAAUGGUGCCGUAACUUCGGGAGAAGGCACGCUGACAC